rnacentral:lncRNA from 1 species
UCUGGAGAAGGCUAUCCAUGGUUUUGCCGACAAUCUUGGGGACAAUGUCAUAGUGCCAACUUUGGGUACAAUCUUUGAUUCUCUAGGUGAAGCAUACAACUUCUACAACCUAUAUUUGUGGAGAAAGGAUUUGGCAUUAGAUACGGCAAAAGUAGGCUAAAUGUUGAGAGGACAAAAUGCAUGCAGGAAAUUCUUUGCGGCUGUGCAGCAUGGGAAUAAGGAUUUGACACUUGUUAGUAUUUCAAAUAAUUUUGUGUAGGAGCUGUAGCUGAAAUGUUCCAUCUUUUUCGUGUUUUUUUGUAGGGAAAGGCGGGGUUUGAGAACACUAUGUCGUGUCGUUGCGAUUGCCUUGCUCUCAUCAGGUUGUUGCUGUCCAAAGACAAUGGUUAGUACAUAGCAAAAGACCGUGAGGAGCACUACGGAAGCUGAUCCAUGGCACAGGAGGUUCGCUUUCAGGUUUGUGUAGAUGGAGAGAAUUAAUUUCGGUUAGGUUGAUACUUCGAGGAGCUAUUAUUCGUUUUUGGUCAAAAGGGUCGAAUUGCUGAGACGACAUGGGUGGAGAGGGGCGACUCCAUUGGCGGUGAUGGAGUUGCUGAUGCGACCCAUGAACAGGUAACAUCAGUAUCGUUUUUGGAAGUAGGGUGUUUUAAUUCGCGAUUUGUUGAUUGCUUGCUUUUUUCUUGCAAUGGAGGGUCGCAGAUUCCCCUUUCUGGAGGAAUUGCAUGAGAGCGCAACCCCGAUGGAACCGGCAGCGUUCACGGUGGUUCGUUUGGUACCGGCUGCCGAGUAAUCGACGGGACUAGCCAUGAGCGCGGACAAGCAGGUUGUGAGGAAGACAUGGCAAAAGGUGUGAGAUGAAAGGCGUCGCCGCAGGUGUCCGAGAUGUCCACCGGGAAGAUGAAGUUCCUACAGUCCUACAGGCACCUGGUUGGGCUAAGAGGUGUCUUUCCCUAAAUCAAUCAAAUCGGUAUGCAUUGAAUUUUUGUUGUUGAGCGAUUAGGAGUGAUGCUGUCAUAUGUGUAUUGACGUCCCCUUGGGGUUCAGAACAUUCAGACAAGUAGUUGAUGCUGUUCUUAAGUAGUGUACGGUUAUGAAUGGAUGAUGAUCUAUCCAUCUUGGAGCAUGUUGUUACUAAUUCAAGGUUGUUGUACAAUUGGUUAUGAGUUACGAUUUAUGGGGAGUGCUUUGUAGUUAGUUCAUGUAUGAGUCUUGUUGGAUGCUUGCUUCUGAAUUUAGCUGUGCAAUGGAAUCGAGAUCAUGAUGCUCAAUGUAUGGAUUAUGGAUGUUCAAUUCAGUUUAUAAUGCUAGUUGUUUUUCAU